UACGAAGGGGGCUAGCGUUGCUCGGAAUCACUGGGCGUAAAGGGUGCGUAGGCGGGUCUUUAAGUCAGGGGUGAAAUCCUGGAGCUCAACUCCAGAACUGCCUUUGAUACUGAAGAUCUUGAGUUCGGGAGAGGUGAGUGGAACUGCGAGUGUAGAGGUGAAAUUCGUAGAUAUUCGCAAGAACACCAGUGGCGAAGGCGGCUCACUGGCCCGAGUACUGACGCUGAGGCACGAAAGCGUGGGGAGCAAACAGG
rnacentral:rRNA from 1 species